rnacentral:lncRNA from 1 species
CCGUCCCGUCCCCGUCACCCGACGCGCGGCCGUGGACUUGGACUUGGAUCUUGGCAAUUGGUCUUUGGGUGGUCUUUGGGCUGGUCUUUGGGCCUACCCUAGGCCCACAUCGACCCUUAUCUUUUUGGACCAACGAAAACUUGGUUCGAAGGAGACGAGGCCCAACUCGGUUGGGCCUACGCGCAUGCACACGAAGCCCACUCGGGCGUGGCCCGGGAGGACCCUUGGUCUCCCAGGAAGCUUCCACAUAAUUGCAGGGCUGUUACACAUCUGUAACCGCCGUCGGAGGAUUCAUGGCAGGAUUCAAACAGCAGGGCUGUUACGUCCGUUACUGCUGUAACCCCCGAC